AAACAACUACAAAAUAUUUUAAUAAACCCAAUUUUAAAAAUAGAUCAUUUAGAUUAUCUUAAGGUUUUAAUAUUAUAUAUACUUAAAAAUAUAGAAAUUAUGGAUAUUAAGAAAAUGAUAUUAGAAGAAGUAAUAAACUAUGAAAUUGAAACUACAAAUUAUCUAGAACAGUUAUACGAAGAAAUUUACCCAGAAGAAUAUUAUUCAGACUAAAAACAUGUUAGAAUAUAUUAGACAAACUAGAGAAAAUCAAGAAAAUCUAAAUAAUGAAAUUAGUUAUAGAAACCGAAUUAA
rnacentral:lncRNA from 1 species